GAAGCGGGCAGGGACAACUGUUUGCUUUCCGUUUCUUUCUUGUUUUCUCUUUUCUUUUCUUCUUUUUAAUGAACGUUUGGUUUUAGUUUUCGUGUUUCCCCUUCAAAUUAGAGAGAGCACAAGCAGGGGAGAAGCAGGGGCAGAGGGAGAAGCAGGCUCCCCACUGAGCAGGGAGCUGGAUGCUGGGCUCCAUCCCAGGACCCUGGAAUCAUGACCUGAGUGGAAGGAAAAUGCUCAACUGACUGAGCCACUCAGGUACUCCUCCCUAAACAUAAUUUUUAAUGACUUUAUUUGAGAGAGAGAGAGAGAGCAAGAGCACUA
rnacentral:lncRNA from 1 species